AGUCAAUCUUAGUACCGCCCCCAUGUAAUGGCAGCUUGUUGUAUCCACUGUAAACAAUCGAUGAGGAAGAUCGUCUUUCUGUAUGAAGCAUAAUGUUGACUUUAUGAACCAUCUACACUAACAAAUUCAGCCUACCAUGAGUACAGUGGGUGAAAAUCAGCUGCAGAGAAUAAUCAGAGAUUUGCAUGAUGCAGUUUCUGAGUUGAGCAAAGAACAUUAUGAUUCUGGAGAGCCCAUCACCGAUGACAGCGCCAGUCUUCACAAGUUCUGUUAUAAACUGGAGUACCUA